GAUGAACGCUGGCGGCGUGCCUAAUACAUGCAAGUCGAACGCAUUGAGAGAAGUGCUUGCACUUUUCAAUUUGAGUGGCGAACGGGUGAGUAACACGUGGGCAACCUACCUGAUAGCGGGGGAUAACGAGUGGAAACAUUCGCUAAUACCGCAUAACAAUAGAGAAGGCAUCUUCUUUAUUUAAAAGGCGCUUUCAAGCGUCACUAUCAGAUGGGCCCGCGGUGCAUUAGUUAGUUGGUGGGGUGAAGGCCUACCAAGACGAUGAUGCAUAGCGGAGUUGUGGGACUGAUCAGCCACAUUGGGACUGAGACACGGCCCAAACUCCUACGGGAGGAUGCAGUAGGGAAUCUUCCACAAUGGACGAAAGUCUGAUGGAGCAACGCGGCGUGUGUGAUGAAGGCUUUCGGGUCGUAAAGCACUGUUGUAUGGGAAGAAAUGCUAGGCUAGGAAAUGAGCUUAGUUUGACGGUACCAUACCAGAAAGGGACGGCUAAAUACGUGCCAGCCGCCGCAGUAA
rnacentral:rRNA from 1 species